rnacentral:rRNA from 1 species
GACGAACGCUGGCGGCGUGCUUAACACAUGCAAGUCGAACGGAAAGGCCCUGCUUUUGUGGGGUGCUCGAGUGGCGAACGGGUGAGUAACACGUGAGUAACCUGCCCUUGACUUUGGGAUAACUUCAGGAAACUGGGGCUAAUAUCGGAUAGGAGCUCCUGCUGCAUGGUGGGGGUUGGAAAGUUUCGGCGGUUGGGGCUGGACUCGCGGCUUAUCAGCUUGUUGGUGGGGUAGUGGCUUACCAAGGCUUUGACGGGUAGCCGGCCUGAGAGGGUGACCGGCCACAAUGGGACUGAGAUACGGACCAGACUCCUACGGGAGGCAGCAGUGGGGAAUAUUGCACAAUGGGCGGAAGCCUGAUGAAGCAACGCCGCGGGCGGGAUGACGGCCUUCGGGUUGUAAACCGCUUUCGCCUGUGACGAAGCGUGAGUGACGGUAAUGGGUAAAGAAGCACCGGCUAACUACGUG